UACAGAGGUCCCAAGCGUUGUUCGGAUUCAUUGGGCGUAAAGGGUGCGUAGGCGGCGCGGUAAGUCGGGCGUGAAAUCUUGGAGCUUAACUCCGAAACUGCAUUCGAUACUGCUUUGCUAGAGGACUGGAGAGGAGAUUGGAAUUCACGGUGUAGCAGUGAAAUGCGUAGAGAUCGUGAGGAAGACCAGUGGCGAAGGCGGAUCUCUGGACAGUUCCUGACGCUGAGGCGCGAAGGCCAGGGGAGCAAACGGGG
rnacentral:rRNA from 1 species